rnacentral:rRNA from 1 species
GAGUUUGAUCCUGGCUCAGGAUGAACGCUAGCGGCAGGCCUAACACAUGCGAGUCGAGGGGUAACAGGGAUUAGCUUGCUAAUUUGCUGACGACCGGCGCACGGGUGCGUAACGCGUAUACAAUCUGCCUUAUACUGGGGUAUAGCCUUUAGAGAUGAAGAUUAAUCCCCCAUAGUCUCUUGAGAUGGCAUCAUUUUAGGAGUAAAGGUUACGGUAUAAGAUGAGUAUGCGUUCUAUUAGCUAGUAGGUAAGGUAACGGCUUACCUAGGCAACGAUAGAUAGGGGCCCUGAGAGGGGGAUCCCCCACACUGGUACUGAGACACGGACCAGACUCCUACGGGAGGCAGCAGUGAGGAAUAUUGGACAAUGGAGGCAACUCUGAUCCAGCCAUGCCGCGUGCAGGAAGACUGCCCUAUGGGUUGUAAACUGCUUAAAUAUAGGAAGAAACCUUGGUACGUGUACCAAGCUGACGGUACUAUAAGAAUAAGGAUCGGCUAACUCCGUGCCAGCAGACGCGGUAAUACGGAGGAUCCAAGCGUUAUCCGGAAUCAUUGGGUUUAAAGGGUCCGUAGGUGGAUAAUUAAGUC